rnacentral:rRNA from 1 species
GUCAAGUUAUUAAGGGCCAACGGUGGAUGCCUUGGCGUCAAGGGCCGAUGAAGGGCGUAGCACGUCUGCGAUAAGCCUCGGCUAGCUGUCAAGCAAGCUUAACCGGGGAUUCCCGAAUCGGGGAACCGGUCCUAGAGAAACUAGGACAUCCUCAGCUGAACACAUAGGCUGAGGGGGGUAACCAGGGGAACUGAAACAUCUAAGUACCCUGAGGAAAAUAAAGCAACCGCGAUUCCCUAAGUAGUGGUGAGCGAAAGGGGAUCAGCCUAAACUGGCAGGGUUUAGUGGCAUGAGGGCCUAUACCUUGCCGGGGUUGUACGGCACACCAGCAUGAACCUCAAAGAUUGCGCAGAGUUACAAAUCUGUUUUCUAGCUGAAGGAACCUGGAAAGGACCGCCAUAGGGGGUGAUAGCCCCGUAAGCGAAAGAAUUCAGACUCUGGGUGUGUUCGUGAGUACCACGGGACACGAGAAAUCCCGUGGGAAGCUGGGGGGACCACCCUCCAAGGCUAAAUACCCUUGACGACCGAUAGUGAACAAGUACCGUGAGGGAAAGGUGAAAAGAACCCCUGAAGGGGAGUGAAAUAGACCUGAAACCGUGGGCCUACAAGCGGUCGGAGCCUCGAUUUAUCGGGGUGACGGCGUGCCUAUUGAAGAAUGAGCCGGCGAGUUACUCCUGUGUGGCAAGGUUAAGGAAUUUAUACGUUCCGGAGCCGUAGCGAAAGCGAGUCUGAAUAGGGCGUUCAGUCGCACGGGGUAGACCCGAAACCGGGUGAGCUACCCAUGGCCAGGGUGAAGCCUCGAUAGUCUCGAGGUGGAGGCCCGAACCCGUGUACGUUGCAAAGUGCUGGGAUGAGCUGUGGGUAGAGGUGAAAUUCCAACCGAACCCGGAGAUAGCUGGUUCUCCCCGAAAUGCAUUGAGGUGCAGCCUCUAGGGAGAGGAACGGAGGUAGGGCUCUGAAUGGGCUAGGGGGCGCAAGCUUACUGAACCCAAUCAAACUUCGAAUGCCGUUCUGUCUAUGCCUAGGGAGUGAGACAGUGGGGGAUAAGCUCCAUUGUCGAAAGGGAAACAGCCCAGACCACCAAUUAAGGUCCCUAAAUACAGGCUAAGUGUCAAAGGAAGUAUGGUCACCCAGACAACCAGGAGGUUGGCUUAGAAGCAGCCACCCUUUAAAGAGUGCGUAAUAGCUCACUGGUCGAGGGGUUCUGCGCCGACAAUUUAACGGGGCUUAAGUAUAUCACCGAAGACGUGGCAUCAGUUUACUGAUGGGUAGGGGAGCGUUCUGUAGGCAGUGAAGUCUAGUUGUAAAGCUAGGUGGAGCGUACAGAAGUGAGAAUGCAGGUAUGAGUAGCGUAUAUCUCGGUGAGAAUCCGAGACGUCGAAAAUCUGAGGAUUCCUACGCAACGUUUAUCGACGUAGGGUUAGUCGGUCCUAAGGUGUAUCCGAAAGGAGUAACCGAUGGACAGUAGGUCAAAAUUCCUACACCACCUAUUAUUCGUUUUAAUACAAAGGGGGGACACGGACAGGUAGGCUGAGCGUGCCUAAUGGACAUGGUGCGUUCUUCUUUGAAGGCCAUCUCGCAAGACAUGUAAAUCAGUUAGCGAGGUUAUGAGCUGAGGAAGGAGAGAACUCUAGGGCUCGCCCUGGGGGAUUCGGUUGAACCUAUGCCGUCAAGAAAAGCCUCGUUGUAAGGAUAGUGGGUGACCGUACCGUAAACCGACACUGGUAGAUGAGCAUGAAAGUGCUAAGACGGUCGAGAGAACUCUGGUUAAGGAACUCGGCAAAAGGACCCCGUAACUUCGGGAUAAGGGGUUCCCUCGGGGUGAAGUCUAUUUACUAGACCAGCUCUAGAGGGACACAGCAAAUUGGCCCAAGCGACUGUUUAUCAAAAACACAGGUCUCUGCUAAGGGGUAACCCUAGGUAUAGAGGCUGACGCCUGCCCAGUGCCGGAAGGUUAAAGGGAAAGGUUAUCCGUAAGGAGAAGCUUUGAACUGAAGCCCCGGUGAACGGCGGCCGUAACUAUAACGGUCCUAAGGUAGCGAAAUUCCUUGUCGGGUAAGUUCCGACCCGCACGAAUGGCGUAACGAUCUGAGCACUGUCUCGACGAAGGACUCGGCGAAAUUGCAUUGUGCGUGAAGAUGCGCACUACCUGCAGCUGGACAAAAAGACCCCGUGGAGCUUUACUGCAACUUGGCGUUGGAGGCUGGCCGUUGAUGCGUAGGAUAGGUGGGAGGCUUUGAUUUAAUGGUUUCGGUCAUUAAUGAGCCGUUGGUGAAAUACCACUCUUCUGCGUUUAUCCUCCUAACUUGUGUGCAAGCAUGAGAACAGCGUCUGGUGGGCAGUUUGACUGGGGCGGUCGCCUCCCAAAGAGUAACGGAGGCGUGCAAAGGUUCCCUCAAGGUGGAUGGCAAUCACCUUUUGAGCAUAUUGGUAUAUGGGAGCUUGACUGCGAGACAGACACGUCGAGCAGGGACGAAAGUCGGCCAAAGUGAUCCUACGGUUCUGUGUGGAAGGGCCGUGGCUUAUCGGAUAAAAGCUACCCCGGGGAUAACAGGCUUAUCUUGCCCAAGAGUUCAAAUCGACGGCAAGGUUUGGCACCUCGAUGUCGGCUCGUCGCAUCCUGGGGCUGAAGAAGGUCCCAAGGGUCCGGCUGUUCGCCGGUUAAAGCGGCACGCGAGCUGGGUUCAGACCGUCGUGAGACAGGUCGGUCUCUAUCCGCUGUGGGCGUAGGAAGUUUGAGAGGAGCUUUCCCUAGUACGAGAGGACCGGGAAGGACGUACCUCUGGUGUUCCGGUUGUCCCGCCUGGGGCACCGCCGGGUAGCUAUGUACGGAACGGAUAAGCGCUGAAAGCAUCUAAGUGCGAAGCCGGCCUCAAGAUGAGACUUCCCACCCGAAAGGGGUAAGGUCGCAGAGAGACUAUCUGCUUGAUAGGCCGCAAGUGUAAGUCCAGUAAUGGAUUCAGCUGAGCGGUACUAAUCGACCGAGGGCUUGAC